rnacentral:lncRNA from 1 species
GUAUACUAGCUAGCUUCAGAAUUUUCACGACGAAAGUGCAUUGGGAUGCGGUAUUGGAUUGACAAACAUGUUUCCAAACACAUACUAAGAGUAUUCAAUUGGAUGAGAUAAGGUUUGAACAUGAGUUUACAAGUAGACAUAUUUUUCACGUUACAAGUCGGUUUUGUAAAACUGAGUUAUACUCAACUCAAAUUCUAAUAUAUUAUCAUAGUCUAUACAAGAUUUGUUGAGUCGGUUAUAAGGCCAUCACUACUAAACCAUUUAGGUCAACACUUCAGAUUUUCACUCUUGAGCGUGGAGAAUGUGUUAAAGAACAAGACUAGAAGAUGAUUCAACCGUUGGACUUAUAGAAUUCAUAUUUAAUAUAAACUUAUUAGGAG